UGGAAAAGGUAGAAGGAAACUAUUCGUUGAGGCUUUAAAUCUAAGUUUAUCGCGGGAUUUUUAACGACAUUCACCGGUUUCGUAAAGCGGUCGUUUGUUUUGGCGCAAUGCGGAAGUGUCGUCUUGAUGCAGUUUUUUGGCUAAAAAGUUGACGAAUUCUUCGUCUCACAACGUCUGUCAUUUGUUUUACGUUUGCCAUCAGUUUUAGGCAGUAACUGUUAGCUGUCGAGAGUACCGGAACAGACUGUGAAGUAUUUCUAUAGAUCUAAAUAUGGUUCGUAAAAAAGGACAUUUUGUCUGGCAUUCGGAAUUCCUACACUAGUGAUCCAUGAGGACUUUAUCCAGUUUCCAGAAUGGCAGGAAGGAAGGACUUAUUGAAUUGGACCACUUGACAAGGCAGCUUACAAAAGUCAGAAAUUUAAAAGCAGCCACUGGGCGACAGUAAAUUAAAGCUUGUCUACAUUUUCCAUAAAAUUUCCAAAAUAAAUACUGGAAAAAAAAACAACAACAUGGAAAUACAUACAUCAACACAAAAUAGCACAGCACCAGAAUGAAUGCGGAAGUUGUCAUGAGUGGUGUGGUAUUGUUCCUGUUCAUUUAUGGUUUACAGAUUCCAAAAGUCUGAACCAGAUAUGAGUAGAGUACAGUUUGAGAAAUGUCUUGGUAGAACAGAUACUAAGGAAAUAAUAAAGAGCAGAACAGACCACAUUUCUCCUUCUUAUAACUGGUAAAGUUCGAAGUAAGGGCGAGUACAAUAAUGCAGCCCCAUUGAGAGUUCGUGAUGAGGUGUCAACUGUAAAUGUGUGGUCGUUAAAUGAUGUGCAGUCAGAUUGACAAGUAUUUGAAGUAACAUUAAUUUAUAAAUUAUCAAUUCUGAGAGAAAUGUUUGCUGACCUUUGUGCAUGAUACUCUUAAAAAAUACGUGAACCAGAAUUUUAUAUUAUAAGUACAAUGUCAGAUGUACUCCAGACUUCACACAUAUGUUGAUGUUUAUACAUAUGUGGUGAUUAAUUUGUCAAGUGAAGAAAUUUUAUGAAUAAUGUUAGUGGGUGACAGAACAGAAGUACAAAGUCAAUUACAGAGGUCGACAACACUGAGUUUAGGA
rnacentral:lncRNA from 1 species